CUUCCCUAAUGUUUACCUUUCUGUAAAUGGUCUACAUAACAGGGAAUUCCAUGAAGAAUUUAAAGAUAGACAAAAUUAUGGGUAGAGAAACAGGAGGUCUGUGUCUGGAUCUGAACCCUGUUGAGCUGGGUGCUGCACUUUGUGAAAAAUUGUGCUAUCUCUGAAAGAGCUUGUGAUCUAAAUGGUUAGUAGCAGGACUGACAGCUUGGUGACACUAGUGACAAAAGGUUGUUUAACACAAAUCAUGGGACCUGGCAUGGCAGAAAGGAGGGUACUGCCAGAAGACAGAGCAAGGAAAAAUAACUUUGUGUUGAGCUCAAUGAAUUCAGUUCAGCUGGUACUGGAAGAAUGA
rnacentral:lncRNA from 1 species